UACGUAGGUGGCAAGCGUUAUCCGGAAUUAUUGGGCGUAAAGCGCGCGCAGGCGGUCCUUUAAGUCUGAUGUGAAAGCCCACGGCUCAACCGUGGAGGGGCAUUGGAAACUGGGGGACUUGAGUGCAGAAGAGGAGAGCGGAAUUCCACGUGUAGCGGUGAAAUGCGUAGAGAUCGGGAGGAACACCAGAGGCGAAGGCGGCGACCUGGACAGGUACUGACACUCAACUACGAAAGCGUGGGGAGCAAACAGG
rnacentral:rRNA from 1 species